AUCCAACUGACGAAUCCCGAAUAAGACGAAAUGCGCGUACUGGAU
rfam:Schistosoma mattheei strain Denwood, Zambia genome assembly, scaffold: SMTD_scaffold0001036